UACGUAGGGGGGCAAGCGUUGUCCGGAUUUAUUGGGCGUAAAGAGCGUGUAGGCGGCCUGAAAGGUCAGCUGUGAAAACUCGAGGCUCAACCUCGAGACGUCGGUUGAAACCAUCUGGCUAGAGUCCGGAAGAGGAGUGUGGAAUUCCCGGUGUAGCGGUGAAAUGCGCAGAUAUCGGGAAGAACACCCGUGGCGAAGGCGGCAUUCUGGGACGGUACUGACGCUGAGACGCGAAAGCGUGGGGAGCGAACAGG
rnacentral:rRNA from 1 species